rnacentral:lncRNA from 1 species
CUAUGUUAACCUACAUUAAUCCUAAAUUACGCUCCAAUGCUUACCCAAUGCCUCGGGCCUUCAUCACGAACAUCCUUUGGGUACAAAAUACUUCGGGGUAUUCCCCGGCCAAAUGAUACAUUUGAUCCAAAAGCAACCAAACCAAGCCAUUCAACAUAUAUUUCAAGUAUUCAAUGUUCCCCAAGUCCUGAAUUUGCCUACCCCGACCUGCCGUUUGCCUAUCCGUUUCAACAUAUCAGAAUUCUAUCACGUCCCAAUAAUAUUC